rnacentral:rRNA from 1 species
UACGUAGGUGGCAAGCGAUACUCGGAAUCACUAGGCGUAAAGCGCAGGUAGGCGGUUUGGUAAGUCUUUUGUGAAAGCUCCCGGCUCAACUGGGAGAGGUCAAGGGAAACUACCGGACUUGAGUGUGGUAGGGGAUACUGGAAUUCCUGGUGUAGCGGUGAAAUGCGUAGAUAUCAGGAGGAAUACCUAUGGCGAAAGCAGGUAUCUAGGCCAUCACUGACGCUGAGCUGCGAAAGCUAGGGGAGCAAACAGG